GGGAAGCUACGUACACUUUUGCGGAAAUCUAGCAGUGAAUUUAAUGUAGUCAUUUCCCAGAUCAAUGGACAAGAUCAUUCAUCACGCUCGACUCACACAUUCAAUAUUGGAAAGAUGAGGAUCAAGCUCUGUAGAGGAUGGAUCACAAAGUGCAGAGAAAACUAUUCCACAUCAAUGCCGCUAUGUGGAGCUAGAGGCCAGGCAAAUGCUCCGACCAAGUCAUUGUUUUGGCAACCAAGGAAAGGGCUCUCCUAUGUAUUAAUAUUUGAAUCAGAUAAGGAAAGAAAUGCAACUAUGAUGGUUGCACG